GACGAACGCUGGCGGCGUGCUUAACACAUGCAAGUCGAACGAAGAGCGAUGGAAGCUUGCUUCUAUCAAUCUUAGUGGCGAACGGGUGAGUAACGCGUAAUCAACCUGCCCUUCAGAGGGGGACAACAGUUGGAAACGACUGCUAAUACCGCAUACGAUCCAAUCUCGGCAUCGGGACUGGAUGAAAGGUGGCCUCUAUUUAUAAGCUAUCACUGAAGGAGGGGAGUGCGUCUGAUUAGCUAGUUGGAGGGGGAACGGCCCACCAAGGCGAUGAUCAGUAGCCGGUCUGAGAGGAUGAACGGCCACAUUGGGACUGAGACACGGCCCAGACUCCUACGGGAGGCAGCAGUGGGGAAUCUUCCGCAAUGGACGAAAGUCUGACGGAGCAACGCCGCGUGAGUGAUGACGGCCUUCGGGUUGUAAAGCUCUGUUAAUCGGGACGAAUGGUUCUUGUGCGAAUAGUGCGAGGAUUUGACGGUACCGGAAUAGAAAGCCACGGCUAACUACGUG
rnacentral:rRNA from 1 species